rnacentral:rRNA from 1 species
CAGUCGCCGCGGGAAUACGGAGGAUCCGAGCGUUAUCCGGAAUUAUUGGGUUUAGAGGGUGCGUAGGCGGAUAGAUAAGUCAGUGGUGAAAGACGGUGGCUCAACCAUCGCAGUGCCGUUGAUACUGUUUAUCUUGAAUAUGGAUGAGGUAGGCGGAAUGUGGCAAGUAGCGGUGAAAUGCAUAGAUAUGCCACAGAACACCGAUUGCGAAGGCAGCUUACCAAGGCAAAAUUGACGCUGAGGCACGAAAGCGUGGGGAUCGAACAGGAUUAGAUACCCCCGUAGUCCCUGUCUCUUAUAA